rnacentral:lncRNA from 10 species
ACCAGACACAAAAGGACAAAUACUGUGUGAUUCCAUUUAUAUGGGGUAUCUAGAAGAGUCAAAUUCAGAAGCAAAGUAAACAGUGGUUCCCACAGGCUGGAGGUGGUGGGGAAAGAGGAGUUAGUGUUUAAUGGGUACAGAGCUUCAGUUAGGGAAGAUGAAAACGUUUUCUGGAGAGGGAUGGGGGUGAUGGUUGUGCAAUAAUUGUAAGGAACUUAAAGUCCUUGAACUGUACACUUAAAGUGCUCACGAUGGUGAAAUUUAGGUUCUGUAUAUUUCUAUAUAUUUCUCUAUUUCUAUUGGGGCACUAGGACCGGCUACAUAAUUUGAAGGCCUGCCCAGUGCAAAAUAAAAAUGGAGGAGCCCUUGUUCCAAAAUGUUUAAGAAUUUCAAGAGGGUGACAGCAGGGCAUUAAACUGAAUGCAGAGUCCUUUGGAGCACUACCCAGGUCAUCCUCCAUGAAACCGAGUGCAGAGUCCUUUGGAGCAUCCCCCAUGAGCACAGGGUCCUUUGGAGCACUACCCAGGUCAUCCCUCAUGAAGCCAGCCCAGCUGGGAGGAAGGAGUGCCACGCCUGUUCCGCGGACUUCUGACCCCGCACACCAACCCGAUGGAAGUAGUGAAGACAGUAGGGACGCACAGCACAGUGACUGAAGCCUGAAACCCUGAGGCUCAGUAAAACUUCAAUUCCUAGAAGCCUAAGGCAAUCGAAUGUUCUCGAAAUAGACCUUCCAGAAUCAAUGCAAUUUUCGGUUCAGCUUUUAGAUGCGUAUAAGAUACUCUUUCUUUGCUGUGGGAUUUUUCUGGUGCUUGAGAUCUUCUUUCCCGAGCGUUCUCCUUGCAGAGAUCUUUUGAUAUGGAGCGGCGUGCACGCAGCCCCUAGGUUGGGCGCUGAGGGGCAUCGCUGAUGCGAUCCACGUGCCUCCCCGUCCUCAGGCCGCUUCCUUUCCUGGUUUCCAGGUCCUCGUUUCUCCCAGCGCUGCCCUCCCCAUCUAAGCCCAAGUCGCCGUGAGCCCGCGCUGCCCCCUUGUGGCCAAAGCCCUCCCCAGCUCAGGAAACGGGAACGCUUGGCGGCCAGGCUGAGAGUCGGUGCGCGUGACCCGGCUUCUGCUCGCAGCAUCCAAGAAGUUGCAAUAACGUGGAAGGAUGGGGAACGGCGCCUCCCUGGCUAGCGUGAAACUCAGCCACAGCACAAAAUUGAGGCUGUUGGCCGUGAGCGGCUCUCAAAGCUGAAUUUGAGGUAAGAAGUCGCCUGCCAACAGGGCAUGCGCAAAUCUCACCAUGUAGAGUGAGUGGCUUUCCGGCAGCUUCUCCCCUCCAGGCGGCCACCUGGCCCCACACUCCUCAGGUGCAGGGCCGAGGAAGGGAGGGGUCCAGCUGAGCUCUGAGCGUCCCAGGGGAUACAGCACCUGACCACCACUCAGAAAGCCCCCCCAAAAAUACAAAGACAGAGAAUUGAAGAC